GACGAACGCUGGCGGCGUGCUUAACACAUGCAAGUCGAACGGAAAGGCCCUGCUUUUGUGGGGUGCUCGAGUGGCGAACGGGUGAGUAACACGUGAGUAACCUGCCCUUGACUUUGGGAUAACUUCAGGAAACUGGGGCUAAUACCGGAUAGGAGCUCCUGCUGCAUGGUGGGGGUUGGAAAGUUUCGGCGGUUGGGGAUGGACUCGCGGCUUAUCAGCUUGUUGGUGGGGUAGUGGCUUACCAAGGCUUUGACGGGUAGCCGGCCUGAGAGGGUGACCGGCCACAUUGGGACUGAGAUACGGCCCAGACUCCUACGGGAGGCAGCAGUGGGGAAUAUUGCACAAUGGGCGGAAGCCUGAUGCAGCAACGCCGCGUGCGGGAUGACGGCCUUCGGGUUGUAAACCGCUUUCGCCUGUGACGAGGCGUGAGUGACGGUAAUGGGUAAAGAAGCACCGGCUAACUACGUGCCAGCAGCCGCGGUGAUACGUAGGGUACGAGCGUUGUCCGGAUUUAUUGGGCGUAAAGGGCUCGUAGGUGGUUGAUCGCGUCGGAAGUGUAAUCUUGGGGCUUAACCCUGAGCGUGCUUUCGAUACGGGUUGACUUGAGGAAGGUAGGGGAGAAUGGAAUUCCUGGUGGAGCGGUGGAAUGCGCAGAUAUCAGGAGGAACACCAGUGGCGAAGGCGGUUCUCUGGGCCUUUCCUGACGCUGAGGAGCGAAAGCGUGGGGAGCGAACAGGCUUAGAUACCCUGGUAGUCCACGCUGUAAACGGUGGGUACUAGGUGUGGGGUCCAUUCCACGGGUUCCGUGCCGUAGCUAACGCUUUAAGUACCCCGCCUGGGGAGUACGGCCGCAAGGCUAAAACUCAAAGGAAUUGACGGGGCCCCGCACAAGCGGCGGAGCAUGCGGAUUAAUUCGAUGCAACGCGUAGAACCUUACCUGGGUUUGACAUGGAUCGGGAGCGCUCAGAGAUGGGUGUGCCUCUUUUGGGGUCGGUUCACAGGUGGUGCAUGGCUGUCGUCAGCUCGUGUCGUGAGAUGUUGGGUUAAGUCCCGCAACGAGCGCAACCCUUGUUCACUGUUGCCAGCACGUUAUGGUGGGGACUCAGUGGAGACCGCCGGGGUCAACUCGGAGGAAGGUGGGGAUGACGUCAAGUCAUCAUGCCCCUUAUGUCCAGGGCUUCACGCAUGCUACAAUGGCUGGUACAGAGAGUGGCGAGCCUGUGAGGGUGAGCGAAUCUCGGAAAGCCGGUCUCAGUUCGGAUUGGGGUCUGCAACUCGACCUCAUGAAGUCGGAGUCGCUAGUAAUCGCAGAUCAGCAACGCUGCGGUGAAUACGUUCCCGGGGCU
rnacentral:rRNA from 1 species